CUCCGGUUGAUCCCGCCGGACCCGACUGCUAUCAGAGUGGGACUAAGCCAUGCGAGUCAACGCCGCAAGGCGUGGCAUACGGCUCAGUAACACGUAGUCAACAUGCCCAGGGGACGUGGAUAACCUCGGGAAACUGAGGAUAAACCGCGAUAGGCCAAGGUUUCUGGAAUGGACACUGGCUGAAACCUAUAUGGCCCCUGGAUUGGACUGCGGCCGAUCAGGCUGUUGGUGAGGUAAUGGCCCACCAAACCUGUAACCGGUACGGGCUUUGAGAGAAGGAGCCCGGAGAUGGGCACUGAGACAAGGGCCCAGGCCCUAUGGGGCGCAGCAGGCGCGAAACCUCUGCAAUAGGCGAAAGCUUGACAGGGUUACUCUGAGUGAUGUCCGCUAAGGGCAUCUUUUGGCACCUCUAAAAAUGGUGCAGAAUAAGGGGUGGGCAAGUCUGGUGUCAGCCGCCGCGGUAAUACCAGCACCCCGAGUGGUCGGGACGAUUAUUGGGCCUAAAGCAUCCGUAGCUUGUUCUGCAAGUCCUCCGUUAAAUCCACCUGCUCAACAGAUGGGCUGCGGGGGAUACUACAGGGCUAGGAGGCGGGAGAGGCAAACGGUACUCAGUGGGUAGGGGUAAAAUCCUCUGAUCCACUGAAGACCACCAGUGGCGAAGGCGGUUUGCCAGAACGCGCUCGACGGUGAGGGAUGAAAGCUGGGGGAGCAAACCGGAUUAGAUACCCGGGUAGUCCCAGCUGUAAACGAUGCAGACUCGGUGAUGGGUUGGCUUCGAGCCAACCCAGUGCCGCAGGGAAGCCGUUAAGUCUGCCGCCUGGGGAGUACGGUCGCAAGACUGAAACUUAAAGGAAUUGGCGGGGGGACA
rnacentral:rRNA from 1 species